GCUCUCCAAGUUUACCUCAGCAUGGAGCCACGGUUCAAAUUAAAUGAUAGAAAAAUGUGGUGCUGUAUCUCUGCACAGGUGGUUAUAUCAGUCUGGACGCAGGUUGAUGCUGAUGCUGUUCGGUAACGGGUUUUGAGAUGGACAUGCAGAGCAUGCAGCGCAUCGUGGAGGAUAAAUUGCAAAGAUACCCUGAACUAACUCAUCAUGGAGGAGCUCCCAGCCUGAAGCACACCGGAGAUUCCUCAUCUGAAGAUGGGGUUGUUGAUCUUUCCGUGGCCAACAGUAGCAACAUGAAGAGUAUUCACGCUCAGUUACACUGCUGAUCGUCACACACCGGCCCAAAGACACGCACUUACUACGACUGACCUCCAGACCGUCAAGGCUUGAGGAUGGUAUGUUUGCCCACGCUGUUACACAGCAUCAUUAGU